rnacentral:sRNA from 1 species
GUCGUGAGAUGUUGGGUUAAGUCCCGCAACGAGCGCAACCCUUGUCGUUAAUUGCCAUCAUUUAGUUGGGCACUUUAACGAGACUGCCGGUGACAAACCGGAGGAAGGUGGGGAUGACGUCAAGUCCUCAUGGCCCUUAUGGGUAGGGCUUCACACGUAAUACAAUGGCCGGUACAGAGGGCUGCCAACCCGCGAGGGGGAGCUAAUCUCAGAAAGCCGGUCGUAGUCCGGAUUGUUCUCUGCAACUCGAGAGCAUGAAGUUGGAAUCGCUAGUAAUCGCGGAUCAGCAUGUCGCGGUGAAUACGUUCCCGGGUCUUGUACACACCGUCCGUCACACCAUGGGGGUGGGUUUCACCAGAAGUAGGUAGUCUAACCGCAAGGGGGACGCUUACCACGGUGAGAUUCAUGACUGGGGUGAAGUCGUAACAAGGUAGCCGUAUCGGAAGGUGCGGCUGGAUCACCUCCUUUCUAGAGUACGCUUCAGGGCCAAGUGCUCACUCUUAUCGGUUGUUUACAGCAGGAUUCAGGAUAUUGGAUUGUGGAUUGAGUCAGGGUAGAUACUGAACCCACGGUCCGCGUUCCUGGGUCCUGGAUCCUACACGGGGUCUGUAGCUCAGUUGGUUAGAGCACACGCUUGAUAAGCGUGGGGUCGAUGGUUCAAAUCCAUCCAGACCCACCAUUUAUCGGGGGUGUAGCUCAGUUGGGAGAGCGCCUGCUUUGCAAGCAGGAGGUCAUCGGUUCGAUCCCGUUCACCUCCACCAAUUGGUGAUGUUGCCCAAACCGUGGAUGAGCUGUCGAGAAUGCAGAACCAAGCGCUAACGUUUGAACGCUUGGUUCUGGUUUUUUGACCAGUGGCUGUAUCUUGAUCUUUAAAAAAAUGGAAGAAGUAAAGGCAUUUCAGUUUCGAAGUCUGGAACUGAAAUACUUGGGUUUGAUUGUAUCGACGCAUUCGACAAACAAAAGGGUCGAAUGUGUCACAAACGCGUUAUAUGCCUUGUAACCAUGGCUUCGAAGUCGUUCGAGGAUUCAAGGUUAUAGGGUCAAGCGAACAAGUGCAUGUGGUGGAUGCCUUGGCGAUCACAGGCGAUGAAGGACGUAGUAGCUUGCGUUAAGCUGCGGGGAGCUGGCAAACAAGCUUUGAUCCGCAGAUGU